UGUGUCUUUUUACUUUGCUGGAGCUUCACACCAGGACUGAGCAGUGAAGUGUGUUGCUGCUGGGUCUUUUUAUUCUGCCUGAACUCUCUUUUCAGGCGUUUGCGGUUAUCAAACCUACUCGGCUAAAAAAAAAAACAACCAAAACCCAGUCUCCGAGCAGGAGGACGAAGCCCCUUCCUAGCACUAAAACUUUUGCUGCUGCGUUGUAAAAGGCACCUCCCGUACCUGGCCGACAGUUUUGGCCAGAAAUGG